rnacentral:rRNA from 1 species
AGUGAACGCUGGCGGUAGGCCUAACACAUGCAAGUCGAACGGCAGCACAGUAAGAGCUUGCUCUUACGGGUGGCGAGUGGCGGACGGGUGAGGAAUACAUCGGAACCUACUUUUUCGUGGGGGAUAACGUAGGGAAACUUACGCUAAUACCGCAUACGACCUACGGGUGAAAGCAGGGGAUCUUCGGACCUUGCGCGAUUGAAUGAGCCGAUGUCGGAUUAGCUAGUUGGCGGGGUAAAGGCCCACCAAGGCGACGAUCCGUAGCUGGUCUGAGAGGAUGAUCGGCCAAACUGGAACUGAGACACGGUCCAGACCCCUACGGGGGGCAGCGGGGGGGAAUUUUGGAAAAGGGGCGAAAGCCUGACCCACCCAUCCCGGGGGGGUAAAGAAGGCCUUCGGGUUGUAAAGCCCUUUUGUUGGGAAAAAAAAGGAGCAGGUUAAUACCCCGCUGUCCUGACGGUACCCAAAAAAUAAGCACCGGCUAACUUCGU